CUGUGGGAGGCCUUCACAAAGAGGUGCAAGAGUACUCAGAGCCUGGAACCUGGGCCAUCUUUUUGGACUUCUGCUGAGACUUCCCCACCUCCCAGGUCUCAGAAUCUUGAUGUUGAUUGGCAGAGCAGUAGGUACUGACAGGGAAGACUCGGGUCCUUUUGUUCUCUUUAAGGCCAAGCAAUCACUUUAAGUCACAAACAAUCACAUAUUUGAUCGUGUUGCUUCUCGGCCGUUAUUGUCUGUGGGCAGUUGCUGAUUCUCUCUAUUGUUCCAGUUCUUCUCCAAUACUUGCCUGAAUAUUGACGAUGAGCAAUGGUUGGUUUGCAGCUCAUCUGAGAGCACUUUAUUCUGAUGAGUCAGUGAGUCCCAACGGGCUGGCGAGGGCAGGACAUCAGCCUUGUAGCAGAAGGGUGGGUGUGGUAGUGACAUCACAAAGGCCUGUUACAGGACCACAGCCUAUUGGAGGACAGUGGCGGGGAGGUGGUGACCUCACAGAGAGACCCUGACAUCAGCCAGGCAGGACAGAGGUGACUUCAGAGAUACCCCUUAUGGCUUUGUAGGAGGCUGUCCCACAUAGGUGGGGUGGAAGUGCUCUGAGACUGAUCCCCUCUGGUGGUGACCUGGCCCAUCCUUUGGGACAUCUGCUGAGACCUCUCAGCCUCCCAGUUCUUAGAGUCUUGAUGCUGAUUGGCCAAGCAGGGGGCUUUUAACAGGAAUCAGUUUUCCCAACUUCCCAACUGUGAGCCAUGGCUGUUCCUGCCUUUGUGGGCUCUGCACAAGGCCUUGUCUGACCUCAGGCAGGCCAGGCUGGGGCACCUGUUGGCAGAGUCCUCAGACACAGGCAGGCUCUGCUACAUCUUGGAGGAUUAACCCCCCUCCCCAGGCACCAAGGACACUCCACCCACCCUAGAGAGCCCUGCUCUCUAGGAUGCACCCCAAUGGGAGUGGAAGAACACGGCCACCAACACCAGACCAAGCAAUUGGACAGCGAGAAGCUGCUGAUGUGGACAAGGCUGGAUUGGAGGCGCUUUAAAGGAAUGCAGAAACAUUGAGCAUACACAUUUGUCUGUAGCUAUGGCUGGGGGUGGAUGCGAAAUGAUGGAGUUGAUUGACCUUAUACUUCGGGCACUGACCCGAAAAAUCGGUUAGUUGCACUGCGAUGAAUCCCCCAGGCUGCAACCUCCAAUUGGGAUACCACUGAGGUCUCUGACUUGCCAGCCUCAGUUCCCUCUUGCACUCUGCUGCUAUUAUAACUCACAUACGGAGGCUACGUCUACACUGCAGGCUGAGUGGCCUGAGAAGUACCUUGCUCUGUCAAAUGUUGAUUACCAUUCAGCUGCCUGCACAAGCUCCCUCUGUGCACUGCCCCAGCAUAGCAAACUCUGAGAAAACCGCAGUGGCCACAAAAUCAGAUAAGGUACAAAGGCCAAAUGCAGCACAGUCUCCGGCUCCCUGAAUCCGAUGUCUGCAGCGCUGCUAGUAUGUGAAUGCCCCCAGUAAUGGACCAGCUCAAUCGUCAGCAAUUUCCACGCCCCCAGGCUGGACAGAGACAGCUCCUCGCAGCUACAUCUAUAUACACAUAAGUUACGCGUCACUCCUGUUGUACCUGGGUGCCACCCAAUACCUUCUACAUGCUGGUUUGAUCAAAACAUCCCUAUCCACCCUGCUGUCAUGCUGACCUUACCCUGAGGAUGGGUCAUUAUGCUCUUGUUCUCUAUAGGAAGUGUGCUUGUACCAAGAGCUUUCCUAACAGGGUUUUCAGGUGCUAUUGUAACUGCCACCAGGUGCAUUUGAACCUGGGACCUCUAGAGCUUAGUGUCAGAGCCUCUACAGCUUGAGAUAUAAAAUCAACUGGCUCCCAGCUUAG